CCUACGGGCGGCUGCAGUGGGGAAUAUUGCACAAUGGGCGCAAGCCUGAUGCAGCCAUGCCGCGUGUGUGAAGAAGGCCUUCGGGUUGUAAAGCACUUUCAGCGGGGAGGAAGGCGGUGAGGUUAAUAACCUCAUCGAUUGACGUUACCCGCAGAAGAAGCACCGGCUAACUCCGUGCCAGCAGCCGCGGUAAUACGGAGGGUGCAAGCGUUAAUCGGAAUUACUGGGCGUAAAGCGCACGCAGGCGGUCUGUCAAGUCGGAUGUGAAAUCCCCGGGCUCAACCUGGGAACUGCAUUCGAAACUGGCAGGCUAGAGUCUUGUAGAGGGGGGUAGUAUUCCAGGUGUAGCGGUGAAAUGCGUAGAGAUCUGGAGGAAUACCGGUGGCGAAGGCGGCCCCCUGGACAAAGACUGACGCUCAGGUGCGAAAGCGUGGGGAGCAAACAGGAUUAGAUACCCGUGUAGUC
rnacentral:rRNA from 1 species